AUCAGUUUAUUAUUUUUUGGAUUCUCCUAGAACUCAAUCUUCGAGAAUGUCUGAUGAUCCUUUUAACCUUCCUGAUUCUCCAAUGGAUCAAUCUAAUACAGUGGCUGAUGUUCCUAUUUACUCAACUGGUGUUCUACGGUCCCUUUUGCGUGAAAUUAAACUUAUUAAGCUCACCCAGAAGGU